GGGUGCGAUCAUACCAGCACUAAUGCACCGGAUCCCAUCAGAACUCCGAAGUUAAACGUGCUUGGGCGAGUGUAUUACUAAGAUGGGUGACCUCUUGGGAAGUCCUCGUGUUGCACCCC
rfam:Ricinus communis cultivar Hale ctg_1100012300772, whole genome shotgun sequence.